rnacentral:rRNA from 1 species
AGUGAACGCUGGCGGUAGGCCUAACACAUGCAAGUCGAACGGCAGCACAGUAAGAGCUUGCUCUUACGGGUGGCGAGUGGCGGACGGGUGAGGAAUACAUCGGAAUCUACUUUUUCGUGGGGGAUAACGUAGGGACACUUACGCUAAUACCGCAUACGACCUACGGGUGAAAGCAGGGGAUCUUCGGACCUUGCGCGAUUGAAUGAGCCGAUGUCGGAUUAGCUAGUUGGCGGGGUAAAGGCCCACCAAGGCGACGAUCCGUAGCUGGUCUGAGAGGAUGAUCAGCCACACUGGAACUGAGACACGGUCCAGACUCCUACGGGAGGCAGCAGUGGGGAAUAUUGGACAAUGGGCGCAAGCCUGAUCCAGCCAUACCGCGUGUGUGAAGAAGGCCUUCGGGUUGUAAAGCCCUUUUGUUGGGAAAGAAAAGCAGCAGGUUAAUACCCCGCUGUUCUGACGGUACCAAAAGAAUAAGCACCGGCUAACUUCGUG